UCCCUGGUGGUCCAGUGGUUAGGACUCUGCCCUCUCACUGCCAAGGGCUCAGGUUCAAUCCCUGGCUGGGGAG
rnacentral:tRNA from 1 species